CUGUUAAAUUGCUCUGUUCUUUUCAGGUUAAACAGAGCAUCAUCCCCCUCUCUACACUCCUUCUCUUCCCUCCAUAAGGAAACAAAGCCGCCCGAAGCCGCAGAGCCAGCAUACAGCAGCAGGGUGAUCUGGAAAGAAAGAAGGAAAGA